AGUCGUACGGGAUUCGGUCUUUCGGGACUGAUGAGAGUGGCGCACGGGUGCGUAACGCGUAUGCAACCUGCCUUAUACUUGGGGAUAGCCCGGGGAAACCCGGAUUAAUACCCGAUGGGAUACAGAGACCGCAUGGUAUUUUGUAUUAAAGAUUCGUCGGUAUAAGCUGGGCAUGCGUAGGAUUAGUUAGUUGGCGGGGUAACGGCCCACCAAGACUUUGAUCCUUAGGGGUUCUGAGAGGAAGGUCCCCCACACUGGCACUGAGAUACGGGCCAGACUCCUACGGGAGGCAGCAGUAGGGAAUAUUGGGCAAUGGGCGGAAGCCUGACCCAGCCAUGCCGCGUGCAGGAAGACGGCGUUCUGCGUUGUAAACUGCUUUUAUCAGGGAAGAAAAAGUCCGUGCGCGGAAAAUUGCCGGUACCUGGUGAAUAAGCACCGGCUAACUCCGUGCCAGCAGCCGCGGUAAUACGGAGGGUGCAAGCGUUGUCCGGAUUUAUUGGGUUUAAAGGGUGCGUAGGCGGCCUUUUGAGUCAGCGGUGAAAGUUUUCGGCUCAACCGGAAAAAUGCCGUUGAUACUGGGGGGCUUGAGUCACGGAGGGGUACAUGGAAUUGGUGGUGUAGCGGUGAAAUGCAUAGAUACCAUCAGGAACACCGAAAGCGAAGGCAUUGUACUUGCCGUGAACUGACGCUGAGGCACGAAAGCGCGGGUAGCGAACAGGAUUAGAUACCCUGGUAGUCCGCGCCGUAAACGAUGAUCACUCGCUGCUAUCCCCUUUGCGGGGUGGCGGCCAAGCGAAAGCGUUAAGUGAUCCACCUGGGGAGUACGCCCGCAAGGGUGAAACUCAAAGGAAUUGACGG
rnacentral:rRNA from 1 species